GAGCUCCCCCCGCCUCGGCCCCGGCCUUUAUAUAGUCCCCGCCCCCCGCCUGCCCGGCGGCGCACGGUGACUUCAGCGCGCACGCUACCGCCCCUGCCCGAGAGCUCACUCCCCGCCUCCUGCCAGCGGUUAUCGCGAGAGCGGCAGGCUGCGCUCUGCCGGCGGCCAAGGGCUCUCGCGAGACUGGCGCUGGCCCCCGCAGCUCAGGACACGGCCUCACUACAUUCUAGCACAAGUUUUGGGUGCUUCCUGGACCACCCAGUUUGGACCAUCACAGCACGGCUCGCCAUACACGCAGACGUAAACGUCAGGCUCUGGCUGAAGUGCCUACUGUCCAGUGGCACCUCACUGCAACAUUCUGGAGUUGGUGAUCAACACUACUUACUAUAGAUAACUCAUCACGUCUAUUCCUAAAGCCUUCAUCAAAUUUGAAAUGCUGAAGGUCACCUGUCAUUCCCAAAGAGAGAGUUUUACAAAGCUAUCCUGUUAUAUCCACAAAAAGCCCCACCUUGGACUCAUUCAAGAACUCAAGUUUGCUGCUAGCUCAUCAAACAAUAUGCAUUAAUCUACCUGUGUCUUCAAAAAAACAAGAACCACCUUCAUACCCUUCCACUACAUCACAGUCUGCUGACACAGAAAAUACUAGAGCCAUUUCCUUCCAUUUGGGUCAGUGAAAGUCCUGGCAAACGUGAUGAGGAUACCUCCAAGACUAUUAAGUCACAUGGAAAGGACAUGGGCUUUGGUUGUCCUUGAUCCACGUGUUCCUUCAUUUCCCCUCCUUGGGUUCCUGCCUUUUCCAACAAGAAAGUAGAAUAAAAAUUUGUUCUCCAGAAGGAGAGGGAGAUUAAUUGUGGCAUUUAAAAGCAAGACAAAUCUUUUUUCCACAGUAGUUACAGAUAAACCCCCCUAUCUUUACCUAUUUUU